GACGGAGGAUGCAAGUGUUAUCCGGAAUCACUGGGCGUAAAGCGUCUGUAGGUGGUCAAAUAAGUCAACUGUUAAAUCUUGAGGCUCAACCUCAAAAUCGCAGUCGAAACUAUUCGACUAGAGUAUAGUAGGGGUAAAGGGAAUUUCCAGUGGAGCGGUGAAAUGCGUAGAGAUUGGAAAGAACACCGAUGGCGAAGGCACUUUACUGGGCUACUACUAACACUGAGAGACGAAAGCUAGGGUAGCAAAUGGG
rnacentral:rRNA from 1 species